rnacentral:rRNA from 1 species
CCUACGGGUGGCAGCAGUGGGGAAUAUUGCGCAAUGGGCGAAAGCCUGACGCAGCGACGCCGCGUGAGGGAUGAAGGUCUUCGGAUCGUAAACCUCUGUCAGCAGGGAAGAACGGGCACUGUGCUAAUCAGCAGUAAAUUGACGGUACCUGCAAAGGAAGCACCGGCUAACUCCGUGCCAGCAGCCGCGGUAAUACGGAGGGUGCGAUCGUUAAUCGGAAUUACUGGGGGUAAAGCGCUCGUAGGCGGUAUGUCAAGUCAAGGGGGAAAUCCCCGGGCUCAACGUUGGAACUGCCUUUGAAACUGGCAAACUGGAGGUUGUGAGAGGAUAGUGGAAUUCCAGGUGAAGGAGUGAAAGCGGUAGAUAUCUGGAGGAACACCAGUGGCGAAGGCGACUAUCUGGCACAUAACUGACGCUGAGGAGCGAAAGCGUGGGUAGCAAACAGGAUUAGAUACCCUGGUAGUC